GCAGACACAUUCCAGCCAAUCAGCAGCAGACCCUCCCUCCCAGACCCUUCCACCUCUUGGACAGCUCACUAAGAAUGCAGCUUCAAAAUGGAUGCUGUCCAGGAGGUGGGAGGGUCUGGGAGGGAGGGUCUGCUGCUGAUUGGCUGGAAUGUGUCUG